UACGUAGGGGGCAAGCGUUGUCCGGAUUUAUUGGGCGUAAAGAGCGUGUAGGCGGUUCGGUAGGUCCGUUGUGAAAACUCGAGGCUCAACCUCGAGACGCCGAUGGAAACCAUCGAACUAGAGUCCGGAAGAGGAGAGUGGAAUUCCUGGUGUAGCGGUGAAAUGCGUAGAUAUCAGGAGGAACACCUGUGGCGAAAGCGGCUCACUGGACCAUAACUGACGCUGAUGCACGAAAGCUAGGGGAGCAAACAGG
rnacentral:rRNA from 1 species